AUUGAACGAUGGCGGCAGGCCUAACACAUGCAAGUCGAACGAGUGGCGGACGGGUGAGUAAUGUCUGGGAACAUGCCUGAUGGAGGGGGAUAACUACUGGAAACGGUAGCUAAUACCGCAGCCCAUCAGAUGUGCCCCGAUGGGAUUAGCUAGGUGGUGGGGUAACGGCUCACCAAGGCGACGAUCCCUAGCUGGUCUGAGAGGAUGACCAGCAACACUGGAACGGAGACACGGUCCAGACUCCUACGGGAUGCAGCAGUGGGGAAGAUUGCACAAUGGGCGCAAGCCUGAUGCAGCCAUGCCGCGUUUAUGAAGAAGGCCUUCGGGUUGUAAAGUACUUUCAGCGGGGAGGCGUUACCCGCAGAAGAAGCACCGGCUAACUCCGUGCCAGCAGCCGCGGUAAUUC
rnacentral:rRNA from 1 species